UGGCUCAGGACGAACGCUGGCGGCGUGCCUAAUACAUGCAAGUCGAGCGCGUGAAACACUUCUGACCCCUUCGGGGUGACGAAGUGUGGAUCGAGCGGCGGACGGGUGAGUAACACGUGGGCAACCUGCCUGUAAGACUGGGAUAACUUCGGGAAACCGGAGCUAAUACCGGAUAAAACUUAUUACCACAUGGUGACAAGAUGAAAGGCGGCGUAAGCUGUCACUUACAGAUGGGCCCGCGGCGCAUUAGCUAGUUGGUGAGGUAACGGCUCACCAAGGCAACGAUGCGUAGCCGACCUGAGAGGGUGAUCGGCCACACUGGGACUGAGACACGGCCCAGACUCCUACGGGAGGCAGCAGUAGGGAAUCUUCCGCAAUGGACGAAAGUCUGACGGAGCAACGCCGCGUGAGUGAUGAAGGUUUUCGGAUCGUAAAACUCUGUUGUUAGGGAAGAACAAGUGCAAGAGUAACUGCUUGCACCUUGACGGUACCUAACCAGAAAGCCCCGGCUAACUACGUGCCAGCAGCCGCGGUAAUACGUAGGGGGCAAGCGUUGUCCGGAAUUAUUGGGCGUAAAGCGCGCGCAGGCGGUCCUUUAAGUCUGAUGUGAAAGCCCACGGCUUAACCGUGGAGGGUCAUUGGAAACUGGAGGACUUGAGUACAGAAGAGGAGAGUGGAAUUCCACGUGUAGCGGUGAAAUGCGUAGAGAUGUGGAGGAACACCAGUGGCGAAGGCGACUCUCUGGUCUGUAACUGACGCUGAGGCGCGAAAGCGUGGGGAGCGAACAGGAUUAGAUACCCUGGUAGUCCACGCCGUAAACGAUGAGUGCUAGGUGUUAGGGGGUUUCCGCCCCUUAGUGCUGAAGUUAACGCAUUAAGCACUCCGCCUGGGGAGUACGGCCGCAAGGCUGAAACUCAAAAGAAUUGACGGGGGCCCGCACAAGCGGUGGAGCAUGUGGUUUAAUUCGAAGCAACGCGAAGAACCUUACCAGGUCUUGACAUCCUCUGACAACCCUAGAGAUAGGGCUUUCCCUUCGGGGACAGAGUGACAGGUGGUGCAUGGUUGUCGUCAGCUCGUGUCGUGAGAUGUUGGGUUAAGUCCCGCAACGAGCGCAACCCUUGAUCUUAGUUGCCAGCAUUUAGUUGGGCACUCUAAGGUGACUGCCGGUGACAAACCGGAGGAAGGUGGGGAUGACGUCAAAUCAUCAUGCCCCUUAUGACCUGGGCUACACACGUGCUACAAUGGAUGGUACAAAGGGCA
rnacentral:rRNA from 1 species